ACCAGACUCCUACGGGAGGCAGCAGUGGGGAAUAUUGCACAAUGGGGGAAACCCUGAUGCAGCGACGCCGCGUGAGUGAAGAAGUAUUUCGGUAUGUAAAGCUCUAUCAGCAGGGAAGAUAAUGACGGUACCUGACUAAGAAGCCCCGGCUAACUACGUGCCAGCAGCCGCGGUAAUACGUAGGGGGCAAGCGUUAUCCGGAUUUACUGGGUGUAAAGGGUGCGCAGGUGGCAGGGCAAGUCAGAUGUGAAAGCCCGGGGCUCAACCCCGGUAUUGCAUUUGAAACUGUCCGGCUAGAGUGCAGGAGAGGUAAGCGGAAUUCCUAGUGUAGCGGUGAAAUGCGUAGAUAUUAGGAGGAACACCAGUGGCGAAGGCGGCUUACUGGACUGUAACUGACACUGAGGCACGAAAGCGUGGGGAGCAAACAGGAUUAGAUACCCGGGUA
rnacentral:rRNA from 1 species